rnacentral:rRNA from 1 species
UGAGGAAUAUUGCGCAAUGGGGCCAACCCUGACGCAGCAACGCCGCGUGAGUGAGGAAGGUUUUCGGACCGUAAAGCUCUGUCGAGCGGGAAGAAAUGCAUGGUGGCUAAUAUCCAUCAUGCUUGACGGUACCGCUAAAGGAAGCACCGGCUAACUCCGUGCCAGCAGCCGCGGUAAUACGGGGGGUGCGAGCGUUGUUCGGAAUUAUUGGGCGUAAAGAGCGUGUAGGCGGCCGAAUAAGUCAGAUGUGAAAUCCCUGGGCUUAACCCAGGACGUGCAUUUGAAGCUAUUCGGCUGGAGUAGGGGAGAGGAAAGUGGAAUUCCUGGUGUAGAGGUGAAAUUCGUAGAUAUCAGGAGGAACACCGGUGGCGAAGGCGACUUUCUGGCCCUAUACUGACGCUGAGACGCGAGAGCGUGGGUAGCAAACAG